rnacentral:piRNA from 1 species
UUCGAGAGACACGUUAGGAGACUGA